rnacentral:lncRNA from 1 species
AUGAGUCACCGGAGAAGGGACCAGAACUAAGAACGCAUUGCAUCCCUCAGCCAACGCUGGAUGCUCCUCUGUGCCAGACACUGCCCUGGGCCUUAAGGACAGAGCAGAGAACGAAGCAGCCAAGGCCUCAGCCUUGUGCGGUUCACACACAAGGAGAGGAAACGGAAAAUAAAAGAAUUCCGAUUGUGGGAGGUUUUAUGAGGGAAAUAAACUGAGUGAUGCGAAGCAGGGGUUGGCAAACUACGGCCCGCGGGCCAGAUCCCGCUCCAGGGCUCUUUGUCCGCCAGCAAGCUAAGAACGGUUUUACGUGUCUAAAGCUUGUAAAAAAGAAAAAGAAUAUGCCACAGAGACCGUACAGCCCACAAAGCCUGGAGGUUUGCUCUCUGUAUGGAAAAAGUCUGCCAACUCCUGGCGAGAGCAGGGGCAGCUCUGAACUAGUAAGGUCUGCGCUCCUACCUCGUAACGCGGCCUCUUUCUACUCCCCCAGAGCUGCCUCCACCUCAGGGAGAAUAAAACAUUGAAAUGGUUCGUCAAAAGUUCACCGGAGUUGGCAACCUGCCCGCAGCCAAGAGUCCGGAUUUCCGGACGCCUCCUUCCCCACCUGCUGUCUGGGGUCUUAAGUAACCUGGUCCUCAAUCUGGCCACAGCUGUGCCUGCCCCUCUCCCCAACCGGCAGGCCCAGGAGCCACACAGGCAACAGCUUCUCCCACGGACCCCCAAGCUUCUCCCACGGACCCCCAACCCCUCCGCUCACCUCCGACUCCCGCCUGAACUACUUGGUCAAAAAUAGAACCGGGUGGAUCCCUAUUUCAAGGCACCUCCCUGGAAAUCCAAUACCCAGAAACACUGACUUCUUUUAUUUCAGUCAAAUACAUUUCUCAGUCCAAGGCUCAGAGUUCAACUUUACAAACCCUGGCAUUUGGAAACAAAGGAAGAGAUGUUUAUGUCCAAAGAAAAUCAAAUAGUCACCUCUAGCUCCCCUGGAAGGAAAGUCCAUAGGACACAUUCCAGCAGAAACUGUGAAUGGAAACCCACGGGAAGCAAGAAGUAUGGCACAAAGCCCUGAGCUCACCACUCAGCAGCAUCUGUGACACAUUCCGCCACAUUUCUGUGCCAAACGGGAACUCAGCUGUCUCUUAAAAAAUAUCUGUCCCAUCAAUGUUCAACACAGAGCCUCUCCUCUUACACAGCCCUCACCCUGGAAGGUUCCAGAAGACCAUUUUGUUCACAGUGAAAUCUCGAGUAAAUUUCACUCGAACAGUUAACUUUGAAAUUGUUACACUAGCCAUUCCCUAACAUUAAAAUAACUCGCAUGUGCACACAAAGGGAUACAAUAAAUUCUUACUAUGGUGAUGGGGAAACGUCUCGUGAAAGGUGAUGGAUGGAACACGCUCACCUGUGAUUCCUCCCCGAAUCCUAUUAAAACCCUAGUAAAGAGAUUCUUUAAAGGAAUAAAUGCACAAGAAUAUAAAGAGUAAGAAACAGCAGGCACUAAAUUUGGAAGCUGGAAAGCAGAUGGAUAAAUGGUAACCAAUAGACUAGAAGCCAGAAAGCCGAGGGGAGAAAGCUAAGACUCCACCUGAUUCACACAAAAGACCCCCCAGCAGGAGGGAGCAGCUACAGGGCCUCCUGGCCGGAGGGUGAAAGAGGGGUUGGAAACAGAAGGAUUAGCUGAGAGUCGACCUAAGGAGAAGUGAGACCUCUCCCAUCCCCCAUAGUUGGCCAAAAGCCCCUUCUGCCUCCAGAAGGCUGGAAGCUGAGUCUUUGGAGAAAGUGAAACAGGAUGUCCACACUAGGGACAUCAAGGACCUAUGGGAAGGAAGGACCUGAGCCAAAAAUAGGAAAUCAAAUCACAGCUGACACACUGGACAUCGAGAGCCACAGUCUUCUUCCCCGACUCAGAUCUCAGAGUGCCAACAAAAAAGGAGAUUGGAAAAUUUCACUGAGGAAUCUGAUCAAGUCAAAAGAGCUGCGGGAGCUAACAUUUGUUUUGUGUCCUCUGAGGACAAAUGAUAGACAGGUGCUUCUCGAAACACCCCCGACACCUGCCAUCUGUUUGGAAACUCCGGGGCGGCCGACAGAAAAGCCUGGCCAGGCGGGGUGCUGGUAAGAUUUAUAACUUGCCAAGGAGCCCAGUGGCCUCCUCCUGGCCCCACAGGUGACUGCAAACUCCUCAGACUCAGGUGAGGCCAUGCUGGUGGCUGCACAGUGCUCAGAGGUGGCUCAUCCUGAGCCCCAAGGAGCUCCAUUCACAGGCUGAGGUGGAACCCUGCGCGGCCCGGCCCCCGCUCGCCUGGCUGUGGGUGACAAUCCAUGUGUCCUCUCACUGUCGGUUCUCCUCAGGCAACCCUGCCUCUUCUCAGCAGGCAGGAAACACUCCCCAAACUGAAUCGCUGAGCCCAAGAUGGAGGAAUUCAGGUAAUGAGAGCAAAAUGAUACAGAUAAAAUGCGUUUUAUUAUCGACAGCCCAUACCACUUGGAUCAAAACAACCCCACAGGUACGUAAUAUUUUUAUUACCUCCAUUUUACAGAUAAAGAAACUGAGCCCCAGAGAGGUAAAGUGACUUGCCCAGGGUCACACAGCUCAUCAGUGGCAUUGACUGGAACCAGGACCCUGGUUUCCUGAGCCUAAGUCCACAGCUGCGUCUACCUUUGCUCUGAUUCAGCCAGUCCCGAGACCUGGCGUCACAAAGCCCCAGAGAAUGCCAGUGCUCUCUCUAGGCUUCAGUCAGCAAGCAUCCGUGGGCAGUUCAAGCUCUGGCUGCAGAACCAGGGGUCAGCACUCCUCACCCCACCCCGACCUGGCUCCAAGGGAUAAGCCCGUCACCCUCCUGGCCCCAGCUCGGGAAAGGAGGGGUUAUGCAGGGAGUUUUCGCUGCCCCCGACCCCGCACCAGCCCCUCCGCCCACCGCAAUCAACUGCAUUUGUAGCCACCCUCUUAGGGGAAGUAUAGGGUCUCUGGUCUUGGGAAGAAAACCAGACUUUCCAGAGCUGGGGUCAGGCAGUUGCAUGAGAUACAUGCGAAGAGGGAACUGGCAGGAGACAGCCAGGCUUCCUCGCAGCUGCCCAGGGACGCGGUGCUCGGGCCAGGCAGACAAGGGGGCCAGAACUGCCUGAGUCCCUCCCGGCUUUGGAUUCAGCGUGGUCUGGGGCCGAACACCCACGGCGGCAGGGGGCGUGAAGACUAAGUGGAUGAUAUGGUGAAAAACAGCUCACUACAGAAUCCUCCAGCUAUCCACAGGCUCCCUCCUUUGGGUCUUUCUGCAAAUGCCCACCUCUGCCCACCUGUCCCAAAGUCGCCCCCCAGUACUCUCCAACCGCUUUUGCUUUCUCUCUCUCCGGAGUGCUCGUCUCCGUCGGACACAUUUUCAGCUUAUCUUCGCAGCAAGAUCAACCCCAGCUUGCUUCUCCGCAAGCUCGGAGAGUCCUCACAACUCUGAUGCAGCCACUCCAAGCCCCAGACCUGUUGGGCCAUUUUGUGUCCCUUACCCUGGUGGGCUCCAAACCAGUGCUUCUCAAACUUAAACAUGCAGAGUGAUCGCCAGGGGGGUCUUGUUAAAUACAGAAAUGAAACCGGCAGGGCUGGAUGGGGAUUUGGAAUGCUUUCCCAGGUGAUGCUGAUGCAGAAUUUAGCCUAAGGGCUAAUUAAUGUUCUUUCCAUUCUCCUUUCCUCUCCCCGUCUCCGCCUGUCCACCCUGACCCUUUACUCACUCGCUCUCUGUCCCCGUCUCUCUCCCUCUGUCUCUCCCCUGCCCUCUCUCUUCCCUUCUCUCGCUGGUGUCCCCUCCUACGCCAUUCUCAUCUCUUCCUUUCCUUUCCCACUCCUGCCCUUCCAUUAGCUACACCAGGAGUUAACUGGCACCCUCAGGCAUUGUCCCAACCUGCUGGGCUAAAAGGUCAUAACCUCUGAUUCUAGGGGGAUUCCAGAGAAGGUGCCAGGCUCCCUAUUUGCAGAAGCAACAUUAAACCAGGAGACCCCCGAACUUAGCUAUUCAGGGCUGGGCUCAUCACAUUCCCUUCUUAAUAACCGCAUAAUGACUCCUAUUAACAGCCCAUCAAAGGCAAUUACUCCUCUGGAGGAACAAAGGCUCCCGCAAGCCAUUUCUCUCUCCAUUUGUAGCAAACGCUCUCCUUCCACACCUGCAUCCUGACCACCCCCUCCACCCCGCUUCUGAGGGCAAAUCUUACAGAUUUGUCUGCCUCCUCCUGGCUUCUCUCCAGCGGCCGCUCAGCUGACAGUUCCUCACCAUCCUGUCCCCGGGACGGCUGGGGACCUGGGGCAAUCUUCAGAGUCCUUCCCUCCUUCCACGCCUGAGGGCAGGUUACAGGGGGCACAGAGAGUCAUUAGGAACAGACACAAUGUGUCCUGCAGAAACUCUCAGAAGCUCCAUGUUUACAAGCAUAUUAAGCAGCGUAGACCGUAAAGUGGGGAAACGGAAAUUACCUCCACGACCAUCCCCGUCAAAUAGAACCCAGUGGGCCACCAAGCAAUUAAGUGGGUCCAAAACAAUAAUAAGCGCUUAUAUUGAACUUGACUUACUGUGCGCCCACCCCCACACUGAGCACUUUACACAUACGACCUAAUUUAACGUCACAACAACCCUGUGACAAUUGUUAUCCCCGUUUCUCAGCUAAGGAAACCAAAGCAUGGGUAUCAUUAACCUAUUUUUGCCCCAAACUGAAUUUCACUCCACAGCAACCAAUCUCUAAUCUUUAAGCAAAUUUUAGGGUUUUUUUUUUUAAGUAUAGACCAUGGCCAGU